CCUACGGGAGGCAGCAGUGAGGAAUAUUGGUCAAUGGACGAAAGUCUGAACCAACCAAGUAGCGUGCAGGAUGACUGCCCUAUGGGUUGUAAACUUCUUUUAUAUGGGAAUAAACUGUUUCACGUGUGGCUUUUUGUAUGUACCAUAUGAAUAAGGAUCGGCUAAUUCCGUGCCAGCAGCCGCGGUAAUACGGAGGGUCCGAGCGUUAUCCGGAUUUAUUGGGUUUAAAGGGAGCGUAGGUGGAUUGUUAAGCCAGUUGUGAAAUGGUGCGGCUCAACCGUAAAAUUGCAGUUGAAACUGGCAGUCUUGAGUACAGUAGAGGUGGGCGGAAUUCGUGGUGUAGCGGUGAAAUGCUUAGAUAUCACGAAGAACUCCGAUUGCGAAGGCAGUUCACUGGAGUGUAACUGACACUGAGGCUCGAAGGUGUGGGUAUCAAACAGGAUUAGAUACCCUUGUAGUC
rnacentral:rRNA from 1 species